AUUGAACGCUGGCGGCAUGCCUUACACAUGCAAGUCGAACGGCAGCGGGGGAGAAGCUUGCUUUUCCUGCCGGCGAGUGGCGAACGGGUGAGUAAUACAUCGGAACGUGCCCUGUAGUGGGGGAUAACUAGUCGAAAGAUUAGCUAAUGCCGCAUACGACCUGAGGGUGAAAGUGGGGGACCGCAAGGCCUCAUGCUAUAGGAGCGGCCGAUGUCUGAUUAGCUAGUUGGUGGGGUAAAGGCCUACCAAGGCGACGAUCAGUAGCUGGUCUGAGAGGACGAUCGGCCGCACUGGGACUGAGACACGGCCCAGACUCCUACGGGAGGCAGCAGGGGGGAAUUUUGGACAAUGGGCGAAAGCCUGAUCCAGCAAUGCUUCGGGUGUGAAGAAGGCCUUCGGGUUGUAAAGCACUUUUGUCCGGAAAGAAAUGGCUCUGGUUAAUACCUGGGGUCGAUGACGGUACCGGAAGAAUAAGGACCGGCUAACUACGUGCCAGCAGCCGCAGUAA
rnacentral:rRNA from 1 species